GAUGAAGAACGUAGCGAAAUGCGAUAAGUAAUGUGAAUUGCAGAAUUCAGUGAAUCAUCGAAUCUUUGAACGCACAUUGCGCCCGCUAGUAUUCUGGCGGGCAUGCCUGUUCGAGCGUCAUUUCAACCAUCAAGCCCUGUUUAGGCUUGUGUUGGGGCCCUGCGGUUGCCGCAGCCCCCUAAAUGCAGUGGCGGGCUCGUUGUCACUCCGAGCGCAGUAGCGUAUCUCGCUCUGGGCGUGGCGGCGGGUGCUAGCCGUGAGACACCCACUAAGGUUGACCUCGGAUCAGGUAGGAAUACCCGCUGAACUUAAGCAUAUCAAUAAGCGGAGGA
rnacentral:misc_RNA from 1 species